rnacentral:rRNA from 1 species
UAGUAGUUUGAUCCUGGCUCAGGACGAACGCUGGCGGUGCGCCUUAUGCAUGCAAGUCGAGCGAAGCUUUUCAGUAGUUUACUACAGAAAAUGACUGAGCGGCGAACGGGUGAGUAACGCGUGAGCAAUCUACCUUAGUUACAGGGAUAGCCCGAGGAAACUCGGAUUAAUACCUGAUAUUCUUUAAAUUUCGCAUGAAAUUAAAAGGAAAGGUCAGCCGAACUAAGAUGAGCUCGCGUUCUAUCAGCUAGUUGGUGAGGUAAAAGCUCACCAAGGCAACGACGGAUAGCUGGUCUGAGAGGACGAUCAGCCACACUGGGACUGAGACACGGCCCAGACUCCUACGGGAGGCUGCAGCAGGGAAUAUUGUGCAAUGAACGAAAGUUUGACACAGCGACACCGCGUGUGGGAUGACGGAUCUAGGUUUGUAAACCACUUUCAGGAGGGAAGAAAAUGACGGUACCUCCAUAAGAAGCCCCGGCCAACUACGUGCCAGCAGCCGCGGUAAUACGUAGGGGGCGAGCGUUGUCCGGAUUUAUUGGGCGUAAAGAGCUCGUAGGCGGUUCAACAAGUCGGUCGUAAAAGUUCAGGGCUCAACCCUGAAAUGUCGAUCGAUACUGUUGUGACUAGGAUACGGUAGAGGUGAGUGGAAUUCCGAGUGUAGCGGUGAAAUGCGUAGAUAUCGGGAAGAACACCAGUGGCGAAGGCGCUCUGCUGGGCCCAUCACUGACGCUCAUGGACGAAAGCCAGGGGAGCGAAAGGGAUUAGAUACCCCUGUAGUCCUGGCCGUAAACGAUGAACACUAGGUGUCGGGGGAAUCGACCCCCUCGGUGUCGUAGCCAACGCGUUAAGUGUUCCGCCUGGGGAGUACGCACGCAAGUGUGAAACUCAAAGGAAUUGACGGGGGCCCGCACAAGCGGUGGAGUAUGUGGUUUAAUUCGAUGCAACGCGAAGAACCUUACCAGGGUUUGACAUCCUGCGAAUCUCUUGGAAACAGGAGAGUGCCUUCGGGAACGCAGUGACAGGUGGUGCAUGGCUGUCGUCAGCUCGUGUCGUGAGAUGUUGGGUUAAGUCCCGCAACGAGCGCAACCCACGUCUUUAGUUGCCAGCAUUUAGUUGGGCACUCUAGAGAGACUGCCGGUGAUAAACCGGAGGAAGGUGUGGAUGACGUCAAGUCAUCAUGCCCCUUACAUCCUGGGCUACACACGUACUACAAUGCUACGGACAAAGGGCAGCAAGUUCGCGAGGACAAGCAAAUCCCAUAAACCGUGGCUCAGUUCAGAUCGUAGGCUGCAACUCGCCUACGUGAAGGCGGAAUCGCUAGUAAUCGCAGGUCAGCAUACUGCGGUGAAUACGUUCCCGGGCCUUGCACUCACUGCCCGUC